GGGAAUGUGGCUUAGUGGUAGAGUGCUUGCCUAGCAUGCAUGAAGCCCUGGGUUCAAUUCCUCAGUACUA
rnacentral:tRNA from 1 species